GGACAGAGCUUCAGUAAGAGUGUAAAUCUGUGUUCGCAUCAAAGGACCCACACUGGGGAGAAACCCUAUACAUGCCUGGAGUGUGGACAGAAAAAUGGAAAUAUACAUAGACAUCAAAGGACUCACACUUGGGAGAAGCCCUAGAAAUAGCCUUGCAGCUUCAAAACCUGGAUGCAAUUACACUAUGAUGGAGAGGAUUCCCAGCAGGGAGGGAGCGAGGGCGGGCGGAAGUCCCGCCUCCCCAGCUUCGGGCGCCAUCUUGGGGCCGGGCGGAAGUGUAGCGAGGGCGGGAGUGAGGCGCCGCGCACAACUCCUGCGGAGGGGGCGGGGCCACUUCCGGGAGGGCGUUCCUCGAUGGCGGCGGCGAGGGGAGAGGAGAGCCGCGCUGAGGAGAGAGAAAGAGCGAGGAAGGGAGGAAGGCGGAGAUGGAUGGAUGUUUAUUUUCCCUCCGGGAGCGAGGACGUGAGUUCUCUGGAGCCACCCCUGCCGUGAUGGGAAACGAACCAGCUUCUAGUAGAUAUUAAGGCAUUUGGAAACCAAAGUGCAGUAAGGAAACCAGUCCUCUAGGAAAAAGGAAUUCCUUCAUUCACUUUGGAUUAUAGAGUAUAACCAUAGAGUCAGAAGAGACUGCUUGAGGCACCUAAUCCAGGCCUCUGCCGUGCAGGAAAAGCACAAAGUACCCCUGACAGAUAAACAUCUAGCCUCUGUUUAAAAGAUUCCAAAGGAGCAUCCACUACAUUUUGAGGCAGAGUGUUCCACCGCUGAACAGCUCUUACAAUCAGGAAGUUCUUCUUAAUGUUCAGAUGGAAACUACUUUGCUGCAAUUUGAACCCACUGCUGUGAGUAAUCGGACAGGGAAAAACAAGAAUCAGGUGUCCAAAUUGGAAUUAAAUGUACAUAACGCUUUUGACAUGGAGGAGAAAGCAUAUAAAUGUAUCGAAUGUGGAAAGAGCUUUAGUCAGCACGGAAAGCUGAAGGCACAUCAAAGGACUCACACUGGGGAGAAACCCUAUAACUGCCUGGAGUGUGGACAGAGCUUUACUCAGAAGGGACACUUACAUUUACAUCAAAGAACUCACACUGGGGAGAAACCUUAUAAAUGCCUGGAGUGUGGAAUGAGCUUCACUAAUAGUGGAAAUCUACGUAGACAUCAAAGGACUCACACUGGAGAGAAACCCUAUAAAUGUCUGGAGUGUGGAAUGAGCUUCACUGAUAGUGGAAAUCUACAUAGACAUCAAAUGACUCACACUGGAGAGAAACCCUAUAAAUGUCUGGAGUGUGGAAUGAGCUUCACUAAUAGUGGAAAUCUACGUUUACAUCAAAGGACUCAUACUGGAGAGAAACCCUAUACAUGCUGGGAGUGUGGACAGAGUUUUGCUCAGAGUGGAAACCUGAGUUCACAUAAAAGGACUCACACUGGGGAGAAACCCUAUAAAUGCCUCGAGUGUGGAAUAAGCUUCAGUCAGAAUCAAACUCUACGUUCACAUCAAAGGACUCACACUGGGGAGCAACCGUAGAAAUGGCAUGGAGUGUGGACAGAGCUUUUCAAGGAAUAACAUUAUAUGUAGAUAUCAUAGAAUUCACCCUGGAGGGAAUGGUGUUAAUUGACACCAGAGUGUCAUUCUAACAUGUACAAAAGCAAUUCUUGCAAAUUUUGGAAAUGCAGGCUCAAAGUUGGGACAUUUCAGAACAUGUGGUGUAUUGUAGAAAGAUUGAACUAACAUAUGUUCCAUUCUGGAAGUAAUCAAGAUUAAAUGAAAUUAGAGUUUAA